rnacentral:rRNA from 1 species
CCUACGGGUGGCUGCAGUGGGGAAUAUUGCACAAUGGGCGCAAGCCUGAUGCAGCCAUGCCGCGUGUGUGAAGAAGGCCUUCGGGUUGUAAAGCACUUUCAGCGGGGAGGAAGGCGUUAAGGUUAAUAACCUUGUCGAUUGACGUUACCCGCAGAAGAAGCACCGGCUAACUCCGUGCCAGCAGCCGCGGUAAUACGGAGGGUGCAAGCGUUAAUCGGAAUUACUGGGCGUAAAGCGCACGCAGGCGGUCUGUCAAGUCGGAUGUGAAAUCCCCGGGCUCAACCAGGGAACUGCAUUCGAAACUGGCAGGCUAGAGUCUUGUAGAGGGGGGUAGAAUUCCAGGUGUAGCGGUGAAAUGCGUAGAGAUCUGGAGGAAUACCGGUGGCGAAGGCGGCCCCCUGGACAAAGACUGACGCUCAGGUGCGAAAGCGUGGGGAGCAAACAGGAUUAGAUACCCGUGUAGUC